UAAUACAAUAAUAAAAAUAUAAACAAACAACUUCCAAAGACCAUUUCCACCCAAAGCUGAAUGAUGUGUGAAUGGUAAAUAUUUAUUACGUUUAUUACAUAACAUUUUCUAAUCAAAACAUCAUUGUCCUCUCUCUAAGUGAAGGUGUAUUUGUGAUGAGACAGGUGGAUGUCAUCUCUCUGAGUGAAGGUGUAUUUGUGAUGAGACAGGUUGAUGUCAUCACUCUGAGUGAUGAUGUGUUUGAUGAGACAGGUGGAUGUCAUCUUCAUCACUUGAUAUAAGACAGAGACAUGACUCUCAGUUCCAUACAAAACUUUAUUUACAUCAUCAAUGUAUGUAAUGUGUGACUAUACCAUUUCGAUUUCCCACCUGGGUAUCAAUAAAGUUCAAUUAAAAUCUC